rnacentral:sRNA from 1 species
GCUAUCCUCAAUUCAACGAGGAUGAGAAACUCCGGGGAAGAGCUUCGACCCGAGCGUAGCGAGAGAACGUUGCGACAGCAACGGCCCGAAGGGCGAGAGCCACGCAGUGGCGAAUUAUCCUCUCUCGCCGACCA